rnacentral:rRNA from 1 species
GAUGAACGCUAGCUACAGGCUUAACACAUGCAAGUCGAGGGGCAGCACAGUGUAGCAAUACAUGGGUGGCGACCGGCGCACGGGUGCGUAACGCGUAUCCAACCUUCCCGUUACUCUUGGAUAGCCUUCCGAAAGGGAGAUUAAUACAGGAUGGUGUUCAAAUUCCGCAUGUUAUUUGAACUAAAGAUUUAUCGGUAACGGAUGGGGAUGCGUGACAUUAGAUAGUAGGCGGGGUAACGGCCCACCUAGUCUACGAUGUCUAGGGGUUCUGAGAGGAAGGUCCCCCACACUGGAACUGAGACACGGUCCAGACUCCUACGGGAGGCAGCAGUGAGGAAUAUUGGUCAAUGGUCGGAAGACUGAACCAGCCAAGUAGCGUGAAGGAUGAAGGUUCCUAUGGAUUGUAAACUUCUUUUAUACGGGAAUAAAACCUCCCACGUGUGGGAGCUUGUAUGGUACCGUAUGAAUAAGCAUCGGCUAAACUCCGUG